rnacentral:rRNA from 1 species
UGCAGAAUCCCGUGAACCAUCGAGUCUUUGAACGCAAGUUGCGCCCGAAACCAUUAGGUCGAGGGCACGUCUGCCUGGGUGUCACACAUCGUUGCCCCAACGCCAAAUGCUUCGUGCUAUGCGGCGUGCGGGGUGAAUGUUGGCCUCCCGCGAGCUAAGGCUCACGGUUGGCUUAAAUUUGGGUCCAUGGUAGGGUAUGCCAUGAUGGAUGGUGGUUGAGUAACGCUCGAGACCAAUCAUGGGUAACCUUAUCAUGCUUGGGACCUAUAGACCCGCAUGCGUGGUGUAACCGCGCUCACAAUGAGACCUCAGGUCAGGCGGGGCUACCCGCUGAGUUUAAGCAUAUCAAUAAGCGGAGGAAAAGAAACUAACAAGGAUUCCCUUAGUAACGGCGAGCGAACCGGGAAGAGCCCACCAUGAGAAUCGGUCGCCUAAGGCGUCUGAAU